rnacentral:sRNA from 1 species
GAAGGGGAAACUGAAGCAGAAAGAGGUUACUUAAUGGGCUCAAGGUCACCUACCUGAGAAAUCAACUUUUCAGUAAUUGGUCAGUAUGUGGAUUAUCUUGUGAAAGAACAGGGAGUGAAGAACAUUUUUGUGAAUGGCACAACGGGAGAAGGCCUGUCCCUGAGCGUCUCAGAGCGUCGCCAGGUCGCAGAGGAGUGGGUGACAAAAGGGAAGGACAAGUGAGUGGCUGCAUGAGGAUAAAAAUGCCCUUUGGCAACAGCCGUAUUCAGUGAGCCUCUUCCCCAGAGAAUACGCCCUCCCUGCUUUCUGGUCAGAGCCGGGGCUUGAGGUCAGCUGGUGGGAAGAUGAGCAGAGCCCCCGGGAUCCUGGCUGCUUGGAGAAGAGCCCCCUCCCUUUCUGUGCAGAAGGGCAGCCAAACUGCUAGACACACCUGCCACCCAGAGGUUCCGUUGGGAAACUGCUUCUUACCUGUCUACAAGGCCAAUCCCCUCACAGUUACCCGUCCUUGGGCUGAAAGG